AUACGGAAGGUCCGGGCGUUAUCCGGAUUUAUUGGGUUUAAAGGGAGCGCAGGCGGAGAUGCAAGCGUGACGUCAAAUUUCGGGGCUCAACCCCGUCUCGCGUCGCGAACUGCGUCCCUUGGUUGCGGGAAGGGGAGGCGGAACUCGUGGUGUAGCGGUGAAAUGCAUAGAUAUCACGAAGAACUCCGAUCGCGAAGGCAGCCUUCCGGCCCGUCAACGACGCUCAUGCUCGAAGGUGCGGGUAUCAAACAGGAUUAGAUGCCCUGGUAGUCCGCACAGUAAACGAUGGACACCCGCGGUUUGGCCUAUAUGGCUGAGCCGCCAAGCGAAAGCGUUAAGUGUCCCACCUGGGGAGUACGCCGGCAAGGUUGAAACUCAAAGGAAUUGACGGGG
rnacentral:rRNA from 1 species